AUUGAACGCUGGCGGCAGGCCUAACACAUGCAAGUCGAGCGGCAGCGGGGGAAAGCUUGCUUUCCUGCCGGCGAGCGGCGGACGGGUGAGUAGUGUCUGGGAAACUGCCUGAUGGAGGGGGAUAACUACUGGAAACGGUAGCUAAUACCGCAUAACGUCUUCGGACCAAAGUGGGGGAACUUCGGGCCUCAUGCCAUCAGAUGUGCCCAGAUGGGAUUAGCUAGUAGGUGGGGUAACGGCUCACCUAGGCGACGAUCCCUAGCUGGUCUGAGAGGAUGACCAGCCACACUGGAACUGAGACACGGUCCAGACUCCUACGGGAGGCAGCAGUGGGGAAUAUUGCACAAUGGGCGCAAGCCUGAUGCAGCCAUGCCGCGUGUAUGAAGAAGGCCUUCGGGUUGUAAAGUACUUUCAGCGGGGAGGAAGGUGUUGUGGUUAAUAACCGCAGCAAUUGACGUUACCCGCAGAAGAAGCACCGGCUAACUCCGUGCCAGCAGCCGCCGUAAAAC
rnacentral:rRNA from 1 species